rnacentral:rRNA from 1 species
GACGAACGCUGGCGGCGUGCUUAACACAUGCAAGUCGAACGGAGUGGCAAACGGGUGAGUAACACGUAAACAACCUGCCUUCAUGAUGGGGACAACAGACGGAAACGACUGCUAAUACCGAAUACCAGCAGAGGGGUUGGCGUCGGAUUAGGCAGUUGGGGGGGUAACUGCCCACCAAAACAACGAUUAGUAGCCGGUCUGACGGGCUGAACGGCCAAACUGGAACUGAGAAACGGUCCAGACUCUUACGGUAGGCAGCAGUGGGGAAUUUUCCGCAAUGGAGGAAAGUCUUAAGGAGCAACGCCGUGUGAGUGAAGACGGCCUUCGGGUUGUAAAGCUCUGUGAUCCGGGACGCGGUACCGGAAAAGCAAGCCACGGCUAACUACGUGCCAGCCGCCGCGGUAAUAC